AAGACCUUGUGCUUUUGGAGCGGCCGAMGCCUGAUUAGCUUGUUGGUAAGGUAAAAGCUUACCAAGGCUUCGAUCAGUAGCUGGUCUGAGAGGACGGCCAGCCACACUGGGACUGAGACACGGCCCAGACUCCUACGGGAGGCAGCAGUGGGGAAUUUUGGACAAUGGGGGCAACCCUGAUCCAGCCAUGCCGCGUGAGUGAAGAAGGCCUUCGGGUUGUAAAGCUCUUUCAGCCGGAACGAAACGGUUACGGUUAAUACCCGUGACUACUGACGGUACCGGAAGAAGAAGCACCGGCUAACUACGUGUCAGCAGCCGCGGUAAUACGUAGGGUGCAAGCGUUAAUCGGAAUUACUGGGCGUAAAGCGUGCGCAGGUGGUUUUGUAAGUCAGAUGUGAAAUCCCCGGGCUUAACCUGGGAACU
rnacentral:rRNA from 1 species